UAGGGAAUCUUCGGCAAUGGGGGCAACCCUGACCGAGCAACGCCGCGUGAGUGAAGAAGGUUUUCGGAUCGUAAAGCUCUGUUGUAAGAGAAGAACGUGUGUGAGAGUGGAAAGUUCACACAGUGACGGUAACUUACCAGAAAGGGACGGCUAACUACGUGCCAGCAGCCGCGGUAAUACGUAGGUCCCGAGCGUUGUCCGGAUUUAUUGGGCGUAAAGCGAGCGCAGGCGGUUUAUUAAGUCUGAAGUUAAAGGCAGUGGCUUAACCAUUGUUCGGUUUGGAAACUGUUAAACUUGAGUGCAGAAGGGGAGAGUGGAAUUCCAUGUGUAGCGGUGAAAUGCGUAGAUAUAUGGAGGAACACCGGUGGCGAAAGCGGCUCUCUGGUCUGUAACUGACGCUGAGGCUCGAAAGCGUGGGGAGCAAACAGG
rnacentral:rRNA from 1 species